AGAGUUUGAUCCUGGCUCAGAACGAACGUUAGCGGCACGCCUAACACAUGCAAGUCGCACAAGAAAGGGCUUCGGCCCCGGUACAGUGGCGCACGGGUGAGUAACACGUGGGUAAUCUACCUUCGGAUGGGGGAUAACACUUCGAAAGGGGUGCUAAUACCGCAUAAGCUCACGACCUCUUCGGGGGUUGGGAGAAAAGCAGGCCUCUUCAUGAAAGCUUGUGUCUGAAGAUGAGCCCGCGGCCCAUCAGUUAGUUGGCAGGGUAAUGGCCUACCAAGACGAAGACGGGUAGCUGGUCUGAGAGGAUGAUCAGCCACACUGGAACUGAGACACGGUCCAGACUCCUACGGGAGGCAGCAGUGGGGAAUCUUGCGCAAUGGGCGAAAGCCUGACGCAGCGAUGCCGCGUGAGUGAUGAAGGCCUUCGGGUUGUAAAGCUCUGUGGGGAGAGAAGAAUAAGUCGUCGUGAAUAACGCCGAUGAUGACGGUAUCUCCUUAGCAAGCACCGGCUAACUCUGUGCCAGCAGCCGCGGUAAGACAGAGGGUGCAAACGUUGUUCGGAAUUACUGGGCGUAAAGCGAGUGUAGGCGGUGAGAUAAGUCGGACGUGAAAGCCCGGGGCUCAACCUCGGAAGUGCGCUCGAUACUGUCUCGCUUGAGUGUCGGAGAGGUUGGUGGAAUUCUGGGUGUAGAGGUGAAAUUCGUAGAUAUCCAGAGGAACACCGGUGGCGAAGGCGGCCAACUGGACGACGACUGACGCUGAGACUCGAAAGUGUGGGGAGCAAACAGGAUUAGAUACCCU
rnacentral:rRNA from 1 species